AUUGAACGCUGGCGGCAGGCCUAACACAUGCAAGUCGAGCGGAUGAAGGGAGCUUGCUCCUGGAUUCAGCGGCGGACGGGUGAGUAAUGCCUAGGAAUCUGCCUGGUAGUGGGGGAUAACGUCCGGAAACGGGCGCUAAUACCGCAUACGUCCUGAGGGAGAAAGUGGGGGAUCUUCGGACCUCACGCUAUCAGAUGAGCCUAGGUCGGAUUAGCUAGUUGGUGGGGUAAAGGCCUACCAAGGCGACGAUCCGUAACUGGUCUGAGAGGAUGAUCAGUCAACCUGGAAACGAGGACAGGGCCCGAACUCCAAGGGGGGCCAGAAGUGGGGAAUUUGGAACAUGGGGCGAAGGCUUGAUCCAGCAAGGCCGCGUGUGUGAGAAAGGUCUUCGAAUUGUAAGGACCUUUAAUUUGGAAGAAGGGGCAGUAAGUAAAUACUUUGUUGUUUUGACUUUCCAACCGGAAUAAGCCCCGGUUACUUUGGU
rnacentral:rRNA from 1 species